GCCCUCAUAGCUCAGACGGUAGAGCGCACCCUUGGUAAGGGUGAGGUCAUGGGUUCAAGUCCCAUUGGGGGCU
rnacentral:tRNA from 1 species